UACGUAGGGGGCAAGCGUUGUCCGGAUUUAUUGGGCGUAAAGAGCGUGUAGGCGGUUAGGUAGGUCCGUUGUGAAAACUCGAGGCUCAACCUCGAGCUGUCGGCGGAAACCAUCUGGCUAGAGUCCGGAAGAGGAGAGUGGAAUUCCUGGUGUAGCGGUGAAAUGCGCAGAUAUCAGGAAGAACACCCGUGGCGAAGGCGGCUCUCUGGGACGGUACUGACGCUGAGACGCGAAAGCGUGGGGAGCGAACAGG
rnacentral:rRNA from 1 species